AGAGUUUGAUCAUGGCUCAGGACGAACGCUGGCGGCGUGCUUAACACAUGCAAGUCGAGCGGUAAGGCCUCUUCGGGGGUACACGAGCGGCGAACGGGUGAGUAACACGUGGGUGACCUGCCCUCAGCUCUGGGAUAAGCUCGGGAAACUGGGUCUAAUACCGGAUAGGACCAUUGGAUGCAUGUCUGGUGGUGGAAAGUUUUUUCGGCUGGGGAUGGGCCCGCGGCCUAUCAGCUUGUUGGUGGGGUGAUGGCCUACCAAGGCGGUGACGGGUAGCCGGCCUGAGAGGGCGACCGGCCACACUGGGACUGAGACACGGCCCAGACUCCUACGGGAGGCAGCAGUGGGGAAUAUUGCGCAAUGGGCGGAAGCCUGACGCAGCGACGCCGCGUGGGGGAUGACGGCCUUCGGGUUGUAAACCUCUUUCGCCAGGGACGAAGCCUUCGGAUGACGGUACCUGGAUAAGAAGCACCGGCCAACUCCGUGCCAGCAGCCGCGGUA
rnacentral:rRNA from 1 species